AGCACCUUCGGAACUGUCCUCA
rnacentral:miRNA from 1 species